rnacentral:rRNA from 1 species
GUAGGUGGCAAGCGUUGUCCGGAAUUAUUGGGCGUAAAGCGCGCGCAGGCGGUUCUUUAAGUCUGAUGUGAAAGCCCACGGGCUCAACCGUGGAGGGUCAUUGGAAACUGGAGAACUUGAGUACAGAAGAGGAAAGCGGAAUUCCACGUGUAGCGGUGAAAUGCGUAGAGAUGUGGAGGAACACCAGUGGCGAAGGCGGCUUUCUGGUCUGUAACUGACGCUGAGGCGCGAAAGCGUGGGGAGCAAACAGGAUUAGAUACCCUGGUAGUCCACGCCGUAAACGAUGAGUGCUAAGUGUUAGGGGGUUCCCGCCCCUUAGUGCUGCAGCUAACGCAUUAAGCACUCCGCCUGGGGAGUACGGCCGCAAAGGCUG